CCACAUCCAUCUCCUGUGUGUAAUGCUGAUGCUUGGCAGGUUGUGGGCAGGCACUGCUUGGAUGGCCAGGAUGCUCUGGGCUAAAGUGACUGAUCCGUUUCACCCUGAUGCAGCGCUCUUCCCAUCUUCCAUACAGUUGUGCGUCCCAGCCUCAGAGGAGCUUGGCAGCUGUCUCCCUGGGGGCAAGGGAAAGCAGCCAUAUCCCACGGUGGACUCAACGGCUCCUCAUCACCAAAACAAACACACAACAGUCCCCAUCACCAUGGAGAGUUCAAUCCUCUUGUCUGGGAUUGGCACCGACUAGAAUUCCAAGGGCUCUGGCUGAGCUCUCUCCUGUGAGAUCUAAAUACAGAACGCUCACUUUUAACCUAAACAUCUAGUCUGGCCCUGUGCCCAGGGCGGACAGCCCCCAAGGCCCAGCCAGGAAGUCUUGACUCCUAAGUGUCCAUUCAGCGGUGGGCAUUGAAGAGCUAUCUCUGAUGUGAUGUGCUGGUCAGCCCCACCUUCACAGAUGUUGCCUAUGGCCAAACAAUGGGGGAAGAGCCACGUGGAGCAGCGGUGUGGAGCCGGUGGAGGAGGACACCAUGAAGCACCGGAGAAACGUCACACCUGCAAAGGCAGGGGGAGGCAGAGGCCUCUGUCCUCCAUGGGAAUGUACCUGGCUGCCCUGAUCCCUGCAACUCGACAAGUCCCAUGGCCUUGGAAAGCUGGCUCCGGCUUGCCUGGCACUGGGAAAACAUGGAGCCCUCACAGAUGCUCUCCCGGCUUCUUCACCAUCCACAAUGCUCACUUUGGCAUCGCUCGCAUAAACACUGCCUCCUCCUGUGUUUCAACUUUCCUCCGUCCAACACUUGCCACCCAGAGAGCAUAAACAGAGAACAGGACUCAUAUGCUUUUCAGAGAGUAUUAAUAUCCUCGGCCUUUAUCUUUGGAACCACCUCUCUGCCCAGCAUUGAACAAAAGAGGCAGUCGCUGAUUGAUGAGUAGAAAAGUGCUUGAAUUCCACUGGUAUCCUGCAGUCUCUUCUGAGGAUAGGCUGGUGGUGCAGAGAAAACCACAGGCUUUGGGGGUAUUAGAAUCCAAAGCUCAGCUUGGCCCCUUGCUGCCCACGGGGCCUCAUGCAAGCCACAGAAGCCUCAGUUUCUUCUUUUGUAAGAGACAGGUGACACUCUGCAUCUGGCAGGGUUGCUGCGAAGGGCCAGAAACAUGUGGGACAGCAGAGCCUGGCUCUGGGAGGCACUAAGUAGAUGUGGCAAUGUGUGCUGUGUUCACCACAUGGGACGGGUUUCUCUCUAGGGAACGCACCAGCUUGAAAAUCAAUUCCGCAAGUUGCCAACUCCUCCUCAUCUAAAAUGGCGAAGUGCUUAGAGGUAUCAAGCCAGACCUGGCUGCCAAGAAUCACUUACAAACUAGAAGAACCUGUCUCCUCCCAACCCCAGCUGCCUCCUCUCCUCCCCCCCAGAAGAAUAAUGAACAACUUAAUCUUAGGCCUCCAGUGGAAAGACCCAAAGGUGGUGCUGAGGCCGCUGGGUGGGCGUGGGAGCUCCAGGAACCAGCUCUUAUCUAGAGUGAGAUAAGGGAGGUGGAGGGAGACAGCCAGACAGAAGAUAAGUGCUGCUUUGGACUGAACCCCGCAGCCCGUACCAGGCUCAGACCUGCCUUCCUGCAUCUAAAGGGUCUAGUCUCAGCCUUUAAAAUCAGCUCUCUGGUUGAAGUCAAAGACCUUAAAAAUGACUCUAAUACCUGCGAGGCAGGUUUCUCACAGAAGAACACCAGAAUCUUUAUAGAGUCUGGCAAACUUGGAGGCGAACCAGGUCACGUGCCCUUGCUGGCUGUAUGACCCUAGGCAAGUAUCUAAUUUAUCUCAGGUGUUUUCUCAUCUGUAAAAUGGGGAUAAUAAUACUCACUUCAUAGGGUUGUAAGGAUUAAAUUAGACCAUGUAGGUGAUGCAUUCAGCAUCUGGUGGCUACAUGAUAACCAGCACUGAUUACUAUUCUUCAAAUGGCUCAGACCUUAUCAAAUUGGAAGGAAGAGAAAGGGAACCUAACUGAUAACCACUAGGACUAGCUUUCCAGGUCAAGGAAUUAUGUACUUUAAAACUAGAGGCUGUGGUCUUUUGAUUCAGAUUGGGGCUCAAAUCUACUUCCUAUCUGUGUCUCCUUAGACACCUCACUUCUGAGUUUUAAGUGCUCCAUACAUGCAGUGGGGAAGGUUUGGGUAAUGAACUGAAAACCCACAUAGUACAAGGUGGUUUCAUUAAUGGAAUAGAAAGGCUGGCUUAGAUGGACUCUGAGUCUGAGCCUGAGUCUGAGUUUCAAGCCUCUUCUUCCAGAAACUGGAUUGUAAUACUUUUGGUGGCUACCCCUCUCCUUCUAAAAGAGAAAAAUUAGUUAAGUCAAAGGAUCUUGAGUAAUAGCUCUUGUUAAUGUCUUCCCUGUCAGCCACCACCCAACUGUUGCCCUUUUAGAGUUUGAUGUGAAAUAUAAAUAAAACUAGCUACCCAAAAAUAUGAAAGAUUUCUGCAUUUUCUGGGAAGAAACAAGAUGUGAUGCUUUAGUUUCCAAGAAUAGCCUUGAAGCAAUUUGGUUUUUGCCAACUGAAGUCCCUUAUUUGUGGUUCUGCCUUAUAUGUGACUUCAUGAGUCACAAGGCAAUUCCUUUUCCCUGCCUCUGGCUGCCACAAACUAAAACCCAGGGCCUCAAACUGCCGGUGGCAGCACUGGUAAUGGGCCCGGCCCAUGGCAUCUGGGAGACAAGCCUAAGGUUUAUGCAGAAUCCCCAAGUACCUCUCAAAUGAGAGAAGGGGCCUCCUGGCCCAAGAGUUGCCAGUGCACUCACAUUUAGGACUGUCACACCUCCUGCCUGCCCUGAGCCUCAUCACCUGUCUAAUAACAUCAAACAGUGUGAGCAGGUGGUGGAUAAAUGGCAGAGUCCUAUCAAAACUUAAGGAGGGCUGGAGGGACACUGGACAGAACCUUCCCACAAAGCAGCAAUUUGGCUCAGGAGAAAAAACUCAAUCCUGAACCCUACCCUCAAGGCAUAAGGUGAGAAACCUUUUGAGGUAAAUGCAAUCUAAAAACCAAACCCUCUCAUUAUUGGCAUUCCCAAGCUCCCCAUUCCAACUUACCAGCUCCCAGGUCUACCUCACCAAAAGGCCACUGGGCAGGGACAGUUUCCUUAGCAAUGAAAUGGGGUGUUUGCCACCAUGUACUCACAGAGUGGCUGGAAGGACUGGGAGCUCUAGGUCUGUACCUUGAAUACAGAAAACCUUUGGUCAUGGCUACCUGCAUCCAACACCUGAGAUAAGGCAGGAGCUGCUCAGAGCUUUGGCAGUGGGAAACGCCCCCCACACACACUGCAUUGACCUUUGCAGAGCCCAGCAUGGACACAACACCUAGUCUACUGGCAAUACCUGCAGACAUCAUCUUCUCAGUGGGUCCAGGGAGGCCCGGCUUUCCAUCUACGAGGGCAUAGGGUGACCGACUUGAAUCAAAAGGGGUAACUCUCAGAGAUGGAAAAGGAUUGAAAGGGCCCCCUUGUUCUUCCAGCCAGGAGUCCCCAGACUUCCCUUGGUCACCUACCAAAACGGAGAGCACACUGCCUCCAGGAGCAGCCUGCUCCACCCUUGUCUCCUCACAUUAGAAGACAGCCUCAGUGAGAUCAAUCCUGUCUCUCCAACAGUUCCCGGUUUUAGCCUUUGCGAUCACCCACAGGAAGUCAGAGCCCUUUAUGUGGGCUGAACACAGACGUGCCAGCAGUCUUCUUACACAUGCUGUUUGGGGCCCCACUAGGAAAAGCUGAUGAAAACCCCCAGGGGAUGAACUGUGAGAGCCCAAACGUACCCAGUCUGCAGCAAAGGCCUACACCCUGCCCUCUGUCCACACUGCCCCAGGGUAGGGACCUUAGGAAAGAGGCUCCAGGUCCACUGCCAACCCCGGGCUCUCUAUGCUGCUUCCCCAUGAGAGCCCAAGGUCAUGUGUCCUUGCCCUUCCAGACUCAGCCCUCUCCUCACUCUUUCUCAACAGUGAGUUGACUCCACUGGUCUGUCCUCGAGUGACCUCGUACACUCUCACUCCCUCGGCUCCACCCAUCUCCUCAUGCAAGCACUCACAGUAGCAGAUCCCCAGGUGACCCCCUCCACCCCCACAAUGACACAGAGAGCUGUAUGCUGACCAGUCACACUGCUAGGAAGAAGGCCAACACCAUCAGAGGCCCACAGCAGGCCAGGAUUUUUCACCUGCAUUAUCCUAAGGAGUCCUCACAACAAAUCUGUGGGGUGGGGUGAGGUGAGGUGAGGUGAUGUUCUCUCUCUCUCCCUCCCUCUCUGUUCCUAGUCUGUAAGAAAGACCUUGGGGAUAAAAAGUCAUUCCAGGACUUUCCCAGCUUGCUUUUCUUUAAUGUAAGUAAGUAUAAUGUAAGGACAUAUGUGGUUCCUAUUAUAUG